rnacentral:rRNA from 1 species
GACGAACGCUGGCGGCGUGCUUAAUACAUGCAAGUCGAACGGAAAGGCCCUGCUUUUGCGGGUUGCUCGAGUGGCGAACGGGUGAGUAAAACGUGAGUAAACUGCCCCUGACAUUGGGGUAACUUCUGGAAACUGGGGCUAAUACCGGAUAGGAGCUCCUGCUGCAUGGGGGGGGUUGGAAAGAUUCGGCGGUUGGGGAUGGUAUCGCGGCUUAUCCGCUUGUUGGUGGGGUAGUGGCUUACCAAGGCUUUGACGGGUAGCCGGCCUGAGAGGGUGACCGGCGACAUUGGGCCUGAGGUACGGCCCAGACUCCUACGGUACGCAGCGGUGGGGAGUAUUGCGCAAUGGGCGGAAGCCUGAUGCAACAACGCCGCGUGCGUGAUGACGGCCUUCGAGGGGUAAACCGCUGUCGCCGGAAACAAAGCGUGAGUGACGGUAAUGGGUAAGGAAGCACCGGCUAACUACGUG